AGGUCGCUGCCUGGUUCGUCAGGUCGCAAUAAUCCCCAGGGCCGAUAAUCUUAGACUCUCGGGAGCUGUCCCUGUCCGGACCCUGGUCCGGGUACACGGCGCCCACCUGCUCUGCAGGUCAUGGAGGAUAAGCAAUGCCAACGGCCAAGGCGGCACCUUC
rfam:Azospirillum brasilense Sp245 main chromosome complete genome